rnacentral:rRNA from 1 species
GAUGAACGCUAGCGGCAGGCCUAAUACAUGCAAGUCGGACGGGAUCCAUUGAUAGCUUGCUAUCAAUGGUGAGAGUGGCGCACGGGUGCGUAACGCGUGAGCAACCUGCCUCCAUCAGGGGGAUAGCCUCUCGAAAGAGAGAUUAACACCGCAUAAUAUCAACAGUUCGCAUGUUCAGUUGAUUAAAUAUUUAUAGGAUGGAGAUGGGCUCGCGUGACAUUAGCUAGUUGGUAGGGUAACGGCUUACCAAGGCGACGAUGUCUAGGGGCCCUGAGAGGAGAAUCCCCCACACUGGUACUGAGACACGGACCAGACUCCUACGGGAGGCAGCAGUAAGGAAUAUUGGUCAAUGGGCGGAAGCCUGAACCAGCCAUGCCGCGUGCAGGAUGACUGCCCUAUGGGUUGUAAACUGCUUUUGUCCAGGAAUAAACCUAAAUACGAGUAUUUAGCUGAAUGUACUGGAAGAAUAAGGAUCGGCUAACUCCGUG